AGGUCCUGGGGCUGACACCAAGGAGCCAAGAAACAUUUCUACUAUGCAAAGGAAGAAGGCAUGUUGGCAUUUCCAGUGAAUUUAAUUUCCUAACACCAAGUCUUCUUGUGACUCAGGAACAAAUCUCAGAACAUGAACAUUUUCUUGCCUCUUCUCCAGGUAGUAGAUGCGGUUGGCCUCCGGGUAGGUGACUUUGUUGAGCGGAAGCUUGUAGAUGGCCGGGUUGUUGGUCGUCAGCAGCAAGAAGGUGGUUUGAUGCCAUCCAUACACCGCUUGCAAGGUCCAACAUACGGAGCAUCUGGAACCCACUAUUAAGACUCAUUUGUCAUCCCUCCCCAAAAAAGAGUUGCCUCCCCCAAAUCCCACUCCAAACCUACUUGUGUAUCAUUACAUUUGUGACACCCAAUAAAAGGUCAAGGAAAGUUCUGGGCC